rnacentral:tRNA from 1 species
GGGGUCGUAGCUCAGUUGGGAGAGCGCAUCGUUCGCAUCGAUGAGGCCGUGGGUUCAACUCCCACCGACUCCACCA